GGAUCUGAUGGGAUUACGAUACCUUCCCAUCGCACUGUGGUUUUCAGGCACUACAUCUAUGGGCGUGAGCGUCCGUGUGAAAAUUGUUGCGAAGAUUAGAGGUUUCCUGGUAGUUUUUCAGCGUAUUUGUAGAGAAAAGCGAUAAUAUCCUAAUCAACACGGAUUCCAGAACUCAUAACAUUCGCUUGUUCAUUUCUUUCUUUUUUUUUUUUUUUUAAUUAAUUGGCCUUUUGUCAAUUUUUCUGAAAUUAUUGCAAGAUGCAAAUUUUAAUUAAUUAAUUAUGUUAAUUUUGCAUGUGUAAUGCUAAGAGCAUGACAAAAUAGGAAUUACUAGUGUUGUUUAUGUUUAUAAUUUGUGGAAUUACACUAGUUCGCUUCAAUGUCAGAGUAACACUUAGUUAGGGAGAGCUAUGAUAGAGUUAAGGUUUUAUGUAGUAAAUUUUUUUAAAAUAAAGUUUUUAUUGGUUUUCAGAUCUUUAUAAUUUUUUAGUGUUUGGGAGAAAGAUAAGGUUUUUUUUUUAUGGUAUUUAGAGGAUUAAAAAAUAAAUCUUUUAGAGAUUUUAAAAUCAUAUUUAAAAAUAUCAUCUACUUUCCGAAAUACAAGGUUAAGAUUUUAAAACCUUAGAAAACCUUCCAUUACUUCCAAAAAGUUCCUCCCAAACAAAGGCUAUGGGUCAUAAAUGAGCCUGCGAGACCUGGAUGACAGCUACUACAAUAGCUUAGUGUUGAAAUCACUGUCUAACUUGAAUGCCAGUUCUAAUCGGAUCAUCAUUUGCUGCAUUUGAUUUUGGCUCGAUUAUUUAGAUUGAAGAACUUAAGCAAUGUCCAAUUGCUGAGGCAUUAAAAUGAUGCGGCUUUUGAUAGAUUAUGCUCUGUGCUUGUGUAUGUGGGAUCCAACCAUGCGAAGUUGGAAGCGAUAGAUGCAGCUAAUAGAAACAAGGAAAUUAAUUUAAGGUACGACUCAAUCCCUAAUCCCCAUAACAUCUCAACUCUCAAUUAAUUCCUCUUUUGUUUUUCUGAAAGAACUCUCAAUUAAUUCCAAAUCUUCUGGCUGUUUGACAUUUAUGGAUACCAUUGACCCCAAGAUAGCGGUGCUAUCCACCUUUCAACUUAGUUUAGGACCAUCUUAGUUCCCCACUUCCUGACGUGCUGUAAGUAGAGAGGUGGUUGCACUGUUCGGUGAAAUAUUGUUUUUGUUUUUUUUUUUAUGUUAUUUCACUGGCGGAGCUUUACCGGAUACAGGGCCAAACAAAAUUAUAAAAUAAUUUAUUGAUUAUUUAUCUUAA